ensembl:lncRNA TCP10L3 t-complex 10 like 3 (pseudogene)
AGUGACUGGCGGGGACCAGAAACUGUCCCAAUCCCCGCGGGGAAGGAACAGCCAGGGAUCCGGUUACUGGAUGCUGGAGGGUCAGCUCGAGGCCGGGUAGCCCAAGGAGGGCACCCACCCAGAAGACCCGUGCCCGGGAGCUGGGGCUGCCAUGGAGAAGACACCUGCAGCAGCCGAGGUCCCCAGGGAGGACAGCAAUGCCGGGGAGAUGCCGUCAUUACAGCAGCAGAUCACCAGCCUCCACCAAGAGCUCGGGAGACAGCAGUCGCUGUGGGCUGAUAUUCACAGAAAACUCCAGAGUCAUAUGGAUGCCUUGAGGAAGCAGAACCGGGAGCUCCGAGAAGAGCUGAGAGGCCUGCAGCGGCAGCAGUGGGAAGCCGGGAAGAAACCCGCAGCGUCCCCACACGCGGGGCGAGAAUCACACACUCUGGUACCAAAGGCGCAUUUGUGUUUUUGUAUCAUUUGCGUCGUGUAAAUAUAGCGUCCCCGUAAAGAUGUGGGCUUUGUUGCUGGGUGACGUGGUAUCUCUCACGUUCCAGGUGGUGGGAGGGCUUGCUAUCUUUCCAUCAGCUCCAUUUCCCACAAGUAAAGAUUAAAGAACUGGAUACAUCAGGCAUCUCACCUGACACUCCAGCAGACAGAAGCA